rnacentral:sRNA from 1 species
UCACAAUAGCCCGAAUAGCCGCUUCAGG